rnacentral:rRNA from 1 species
AGAACGAACGCUGGCGGCAGGCUUAACACAUGCAAGUCGAACGCCCCGCAAGGGGAGUGGCAGACGGGUGAGUAACGCGUGGGAAUCUACCCAGUUCUUCGGAAUAACACAGGGAAACUUGUGCUAAUACCGAAUACGCCCUACGGGGGAAAGAUUUAUCGGGAUUGGAUGAGCCCGCGUUGGAUUAGCUAGUUGGUGGGGUAAUGGCCUACCAAGGCGACGAUCCAUAGCUGGUCUGAGAGGAUGAUCAGCCACACUGGGACUGAGACACGGCCCAGACUCCUACGGGAGGCAGCAGUGGGGAAUAUUGGACAAUGGGCGAAAGCCUGAUCCAGCCAUGCCGCGUGAGUGAUGAAGGCCUUAGGGUUGUAAAGCUCUUUCAGGUGGGAAGAUAAUGACGGUACCACAGAAGAAGCCCGGCUAACUCGCGCCAGCAGCCGC